GAUGAACGCUGACAGAAUGCUUAACACAUGCAAGUCUACUUGAUUCUACUUCGGUAGUUGAUGGUGGCGGACGGGUGAGUAACGCGUAAAGAAUCUGCCCUUUAGUUUGGGAUAACCUUUGGAAACGAAGGCUAAUACCGGAUAUUAUGGAGACGUCGCAUGGCGACUCCAUGAAAGCUAUAUGCGCUAGAGGAGGACUUUGCGUCCCAUUAGUUAGUUGGUGAGGUAAUGGCUCACCAAGACCGCGAUGGGUAGCCGGCCUGAGAGGGUGAUCGGCCACAAGGGAACUGAGACACGGUCCUUACUCCUACGGGAGGAAGCAGUGGGGAAUAUUGGACAAUGGGCCACAAGCCUGAUCCAGCAAUUCUGUGUGCACGAUGAAGGUCUUCGGAUUGUAUAGUGCUUUCAGUAGGGAAGAAAAAAAUGACGGUACCUACAGAAGAAGCGACGGCUAAAUAUGUGCCAGCAGCCGCCGUAAAAC
rnacentral:rRNA from 1 species